GGGGGGGGGUUUUAACUGGAGGAAGGUGGGGAUGACGUCAAGUCAUCAUGGCCCUUACGGCCAGGGCUACACACGUGCUACAAUGGUCGGUACAAAGGGUUGCCAAGCCGUGAGGUGGAGCUAAUCCCAUAAAACCGAUCGUAGUCCGGAUCGCAGUCUGCAACUCGACUGCGUGAAGUCGGAAUCGCUAGUAAUCGUGAAUCAGAAUGUCACGGUGAAUACGUUCCCGGGCCUUGUACACACCGCCCGUCACACCAUGGGAGUGGGUUGCUCCAGAAGUAGCUAGUCUAACCGCAAGGGGGACGGUUACCACGGAGUGAUUCAUGACUGGGGUGAAGUCGAGCAUGUGGCAUGGGCC
rnacentral:rRNA from 1 species